rnacentral:rRNA from 2 species
UGGGGAAUUUUGCACAAUGGGGGAAACCCUGAUGCAGCGACGCCGCGUGAUUUAGAAGGCCUUCGGGUUGUAAAAAUCUUUUCUAUGGGAAGAAAAUGACAGUACCAUAGGAAUAAGGACCGGCUAAUUACGUGCCAGCAGCCGCGGAAAUACGUAAGGUCCGAGCGUUGUCCGGAAUCAUUGGGCGUAAAGGGUACGUAGGCGGGUAAGCAAGUUAGAAGUGAAAUCCUAUAGCUCAACUAUAGUAAGCUUUUAAAACUGCUCAUCUUGAGGUAUGGAAGGGAAAGUGGAAUUCCUAGUGUAGCGGUGAAAUGCGCAGAUAUUAGGAGGAAUACCGGUGGCGAAGGCGACUUUCUGGCCAUAACCUGACGCUGAGGUACGAAAGCGUGGGUAGCAAACAGG